AUGCUUACUUCUUAGGGAGCACAUAUACUAAACUUUGGACAAUACAGAGAAGAUUAGCAUGGUCCCUGUGCAAGGAUGACACGCAAAUUUGUGAAGCGUUCCAUAUCUUU